GUGUGUGUGUGUGUGUGUGUGCAGGCACUUUAAUGUUCUUAUAUAUGGUCCGAAUUCAACAAGUUAUUGUUUCUUGGUGAAAAUAAUUUUCCUAUUGACAUUACAAUGCCAGAAAUUUUAGAAAGAGAAGGAAUAAAAAAUAAGUGGUGGUGCAAGAGAGUUUGACAGUCCAUCAGACACUUAUUAGAACAUAUAUGCCAGAAAGAUUUUUCCUAAACUCCUGAAAAGAUGUCCAGUUUUAAUGCAUCUAAAUCUAAAUACCCAUAGCAGUCGGACUAAAUACCAUGUCAAACAAUUAAUACAACUGUCACCUAGGGAUGUUUCUUCCAUCA
rnacentral:misc_RNA from 1 species